rnacentral:rRNA from 1 species
UACGGAGGGUGCAAGCGUUGCUCGGAAUUAUUGGGCGUAAAGGGCAGGUAGGUGGUCUCGUUUGUCUAGGGUGAAAGCCUUGAGCUUAACUCAAGAAGUGCCCUAGAAACGGCGAGACUAGAGUUCUGGAGAGGGUCGUGGAAUUCCCGGUGUAGCGGUGAAAUGCGUAGAGAUCGGGAGGAACACCAGAGGCGAAAGCGGCGACCUGGACAGAUACUGACACUCAACUGCGAAAGCGUGGGGAGCAAACAGG